UGAUAUAAGGAUACCGAAGCGGGAGUUUUUUUUGCUUGCACAAAAAAACUCACAUUUAUGGUAUCCAUAAAACAUGAGGAAGUAGCCCGAUAGGGCGAAAUCCGAAUGUUUUUAGGAUUGAGAAAGCACGAAGUGCGAAACAAUCCGUAAAUAUCA
rfam:Eubacterium sp. CAG:156 genomic scaffold, scf126